rnacentral:rRNA from 1 species
ACGAGAACGCUGGCGGCGUGCCUAACACAUGCAAGUCGAGCGAGUGAAUCUCCUUCGGGAGUGAAGCUAGCGGCGGACGGGUGAGUAACACGUGGGCAACCUGCCUCAUAGAGGGGAAUAGCCUUCCGAAAGGAAGAUUAAUACCGCAUAAGAUUGUAGCUUCGCAUGAAGUAGCAAUUAAAGGAGCAAUCCGCUAUGAGAUGGGCCCGCGGCGCAUUAGCUAGUUGGUGAGGUAACGGCUCACCAAGGCGACGAUGCGUAGCCGACCUGAGAGGGUGAUCGGCCACAUUGGGACUGAGACACGGCCCAGACUCCUACGGGAGGCAGCAGUGGGGAAUAUUGCACAAUGGGGGAAACCCUGAUGCAGCAACGCCGCGUGAGUGAUGACGGCCUUCGGGUUGUAAAGCUCUGUCUUCAGGGACGAUAAUGACGGUACCUGAGGAGGAAGCCACGGCUAACUACGUG